rnacentral:rRNA from 1 species
AACACUUUUCUUGACUCUUCAAAGGUCUUGGAAUAAGAGGUGGGUAAGGACGGUGCCAGCCGCCGCGGUAAUACCGGCGCCUCAAGUGGUAGUCGAUUUUAUUGGGCCUAAAACGUCCGUAGCCGGUUUGGUACAUUCGUGGGUAAAUCAACCAGCUCAACUGGUUGAAUUCUGCGAGCACGGCCAGACUUGGGACCGGGAGAGGUGUGGGGUACGCUCAGGGUAGGGGUAAAAUCCUGUCAUCCUGAGCGGACCACCUGUUGCGAAGGCGCCACACUAGAACGGAUCCGACGGUCAGGGACGAAGCCUAGGGGCACGAACCGGAUUAAAUACCCGGGUAGUCCUAGGUGUAAACGCUGUGGACUUGAUGUUGGGGAUGAUCCGAUCAUUCUCAGUGCCGAAGCGAAGGUGAUAAGUCCACUGCCUGGGAAGUACGGUCGCAAGGCUGAAACUUAAAGG